AGAGUUUGAUCCUGGCUCAGGACGAACGCUGGCGGCGUGCUUAACACAUGCAAGUCGAACGGAAAGGCCCUUCGGGGUACUCGAGUGGCGAACGGGUGAGUAACACGUGGGUGAUCUGCCCUGCACUUUGGGAUAAGCCUGGGAAACUGGGUCUAAUACCGAAUAUGACCAUGCACUUCCUGGUGUGUGGUGGAAAGCUUUUGCGGUGUGGGAUGGGCCCGCGGCCUAUCAGCUUGUUGGUGAGGUAAUGGCCUACCAAGGCGACGACGGGUAGCCGGCCUGAGAGGGUGACCGGCCACACUGGGACUGAGAUACGGCCCAGACUCCUACGGGAGGCAGCAGUGGGGAAUAUUGCACAAUGGGCGCAAGCCUGAUGCAGCGACGCCGCGUGAGGGAUGACGGCCUUCGGGUUGUAAACCUCUUUCAACAGGGACGAAGCGCGAGUGACGGUACCUGUAGAAGAAGCACCGGCCAACUACGUGCCAGCAGCCGCGGUAAUACGUAGGGUCCGAGCGUUGUCCGGAAUUACUGGGCGUAAAGAGCUCGUAGGUGGUUUGUCGCGUUGUUCGUGAAAUCUCACGGCUUAACUGUGAGCGUGCGAGCGAUACGGGCAGACUAGAGUACUGCAGGGGAGACUGGAAUUCCUGGUGUAGCGGUGGAAUGCGCAGAUAUCAGGAGGAACACCGGUGGCGAAGGCGGGUCUCUGGGCAGUAACUGACGCUGAGAAGCGAAAGCGUGGGGAGCGAACAGGAUUAGAUACCCCGGUAGUCC
rnacentral:rRNA from 1 species